AACGAGCCCGAUUUGGUUGCCACCGUGG
rnacentral:sRNA from 1 species